AGUGAACGCUGGCGGCAGGCCUAACACAUGCAAGUCGAACGGCAGCGGGUAGGAAGCUUGCUUCCUAUGCCGGCGAGUGGCGAACGGGUGAGUAAUGCAUCGGAAUCUACCUGUCCGUGG
rnacentral:rRNA from 1 species